UACGAAGGGGGCUAGCGUUGUUCGGAAUCACUGGGCGUAAAGCGCACGUAGGCGGAUCUUUUAAGUCAGGGGUGAAAUCCCAGAGCUCAACUCUGGAACUGCCUUUGAUACUGGGGAUCUCGAGUUCGGGAGAGGUGAGUGGAACUGCGAGUGUAGAGGUGAAAUUCGUAGAUAUUCGCAAGAACACCAGUGGCGAAGGCGGCUCACUGGCCCGAUACUGACGCUGAGGUGCGAAAGCGUGGGGAGCAAACAGG
rnacentral:rRNA from 1 species